GUUAACUCCAGCAGGCAGCUUCCUAUAUGACCGUGUAAGUGAGCACAUAGCUAGAAGACAUUAUUGUGCUAAUGUGUUCACCUGAGGGAAGAUUGUGUACACCAGUGAUGAAUGACACUAAUUGCCUUCAAGUGUGAAAAAGAUGUCUAUCUGGCAAUGUAAAGAAUCCCAAAUCACACGUUUAAUUUUGCUGGAAGUCACUUGAUGUCAGAUAAGGAAUAUUACUGGCUGUCUGCCUGGGGAUCCAUUUAAGUGAUGGAAUUUGCUCACUCAACCUGUGACCGUAUUUUCCUUUCAGUGUAUUUAAACAUGUCAGUGCUAUUAUGAGUUAAGAACUAUUUCACUUCCCACACUGAUACUGAUUUUGUGAAUUUUUCAUCGAAUAGGCAAAGAAAUGUUAAAAUAAACCUUAGAAGACCAAAUAUUGUUGCAGAUUCCAGAACUCGCACCAUCUGCAGCCACUUCUUACUGCCUCUCCUGGCUCAGAGAUAGGGCAGAGCUGCUAUUUCUAUUUCAGCUUGCUCUGUGACCCAACAGGCCAGACUAACUUGUGAACAGAUUGUGGUCAGGGGAGCUUUGUGGCUUUGACAUCUCUGUCGUUGUGUGCCAGGAUCCAGCUCUUCAGUAAUGGUGUUUGUGGUGGUCAUGGCUGGGGUGCUGCCCUGUGGGCUUUGGAAGGGCCAGUAUUGUUCUUAGAAGCUGCCAUUCUUUGAUUUCUGUGAGGAAACGAAGCUGAUGCAUGUCCUGUUCCGAUUUAAACUGAAAGCUGGGUUUUUCAAACACUGGAAGGAUUCAAUUUCUGUCUCAAAAGAGCUGCAGAAAUGCUGAAUACAACUCAAAGUUACUUCGUAACCUUGAUGGGAGCAGCAAGAUUGGGAGCUGGAAAGUGGGGAUGAUGGAGGAGCACGUAGGGUCCUAUCCCAAAGUGCAGAACCUCCUGUCAACCCCCAAGAAAGCCCAUCACUAUUAUUGCCGAUUUAUUAACAUACAUAAUUGGUGGCUGGCAACCGAUCUACCAUUCUUGAGGGGAUUCACGCUUUUUGUAAAUUGAAAGCGUGCUGCGCUGCUGCCUUCCCUCAGUAGGUGGUGCCGUGACCUUGCUGAGCGCCCACGGCCGCAGUCGUGUCAGCGAGAUGGGAUGCUUCGGGUUCCGUUUGAGGAGCCAAGGGCUGCCUGAGGAGCGGAACCUGGUGAAGCGUUUCUUGCUUGCCGUCCUUCUUCCUUCCCGGCCCCUCC
ensembl:lncRNA